rnacentral:lncRNA from 1 species
ACCCUUGCAAACGAUGGAAGAACUUUCCAGAUGGCAGGGGAGGGUUGUCACUCUAUAGGCUGAUUUGUUGUUUAUUUCCCCAAGGGUGGUGGGUUGCUCUUGCCUGAAGCCUCCUAGAGCAGUGAAUUUCAAUCGUAACAUGUUGCUUUGGUGGAGAUAUUCCAAAGGAAAUCCUCCAAAUAUGUCAAUAGGUUUAUGGAUGUUUCUUCAAUUUAACUCUUAUCAUUGGAUUUGUUCCAGAAUCUUCCUUAUUUACACACAGUAUAAUGAUUUGUACUACUUCAGCUUAGCCAAAAUCGAAUUACAUUUCUCAGAAGUUUCCUUGCAUUCUUCUAAGUUAGCAUGAGCAGCAGGAAAUAUUUGCUUUAAAUUUAAGAGAAGGUGAAGUAGGAACCAUUACAUUUUCAAGGUCAAUGCUAGGCACUGCUGUAACUUGCAGGCAUUGUCACCGAACCACAGGCUUGUUCUGUAGGCAUGGGGCAGCAGCUGACCUCUCAGCUUUCUUAACUCCCGUAGAUUUCUUGCUUCAUCUUCCUUGAACCCUAGGCAAGAAGCAUGAGGAGCUUUAUGGUAAAAGGUGGCAGCUCCCUCUGCUGGUCCCCACAUGGUCAAGAUUGGAAGCGGGGAGAGACUGAUGUGGAUUCCAUUGUGUCCUCAUGGGUUCCUCACAUCUCUUUCACAUCCAAAUUUUCAUUUCAUCUAAUGACCUCUAUUGACCUAUAGCAACAUCAGGCCCAGCAUCAGACACAGAUGGAACAGUGUUCAAUAGAAUUAUUCAACAGCUUCCACAAUUGCCUAAAGUAUCAUCACUUCUUAUAAUGUCUCUUCUUCCACAUCAUUCAUAAUCAUUCUGCUUCCUUGAUCAAACUAACUUAUUUGGGGGGGGCAUAUACCCCAAUGAUCAGGGGUAAAGACUUGAGUUUAUACUUUAAGCUCAGCCUCUUACUGGUCCUGACUGUGGGCUAGUUCUUUAUUCUCCCAGUGCCUCAGUUUUGCAUUGGGAAAAUAGGAUGACAGUACUCCAGCCACAGAGCCUGGUGCAUCAGUUAAUAUGUUUAAGUACUUAAAAUGCAAUCAGUAAAUACUAUUCCUGUUACUUUUCCUGAAACUAUAUUGUCUCAGGAAACAGAGAUAUGAAUUCAUCCUUGCUGCUUUUAUUUAACUUGCACACAUUUUCCUAAUGUUGGUAUAAUAGAAAUGUGUCAAAAUCCUCAUUUCCAAAUCCAAUGACUCUUAUCUUUUAUAAUUUCAUAUUCUGUUAUUUAUUUUCAUUAGCAUUUGUGAGAGAGAGCCAUUUGAGCCUUCUUAGCUAUCUAUCCCCUCAUCAGAAAACUUGUUCUUUCUCUAGCAUUUAGUACAUUAUAUAGCGCAGACUAGGCAUUCAACAUGUUUUGUAAUUAGAUUAUUUUGUAUAAUUUAUAUUAGUAUUUCCAUUUUAUAUUUAUGAGAAAUAGUAGAGCUGUUAAAAAUCUGUAUUCAAAAAUAAAGGUUAAUAAUCAUUAUUUGCUGUCUUAAUUGACAAAAAAAAACCUGCCGUAUUUGUUCACAUCUGUAUAUGAUUCUCUAUGCCUUUGAAAAUGACUUGAGGCACACUUCAAAUUCUGUCGCACAGAUAUAAAAGGUGCAGGGCUUGUCAUAUACUGCAUCUGAAAUCAAGAAGAAGGAUAAUUAUAUCCUUAUUUCUAGCCCAGAGACAUCUCUGCAAGCUCAGUUGACUAAAUUAAACAUACAUUUCCAAAAGCUACUUAUAGAGGUAGCUACAAGCUAUUUCAAGUCAAGUGGUAGCUGGACAAGAUUCCAGUUCUUUCUUGAGUCAGAAAAAUGCAUUUAACUUCAGAUACUUAUUGAAUAGGAACAGCUAAGGUACAACAGUCCCUGUCUUGACGGUAUAUAAAACAAGUUUAUCAGUUUAUUGAGCAGCCUUCAUCAAUUAUUUCAAGGAAGAGUUGUCCCCUAGUCAGACAGGAAUGAUGUCCUAGCUGACAGAUUCAUUACCAGAGAGGAUGGGUCAGUGGCUUAAUAUACCACUCUAUGGAAGAGGAAGGCAAAAGUUAGUGGUUUAAUUAUUAGAUUACUCAGUUCGUCUAGUGGUUAUAUCCUAGCAUCAAUCUUUCCCCUCUCCCACUGAUAACACAUAGCUUUUACUUUGAGUCAAAUUAAUCUGUCCUGUUUGGGGCUGUGAUUUAGGUAUGAUGAGGUGUACAGGAGCACGAAUCACAGGAGAAACCCUAGGGACUCGAGCCAGGGACUCGAGCCAGGUUUCCGUUGAUCGUAGUGUUUUAUUCUGAUUGUGGUUUAUUUCCUGUGGAACCUAAAGACGUUGAGGUAACUGACAUGGGUGAGCCAUGUGGUUGGGAACUGCUGCCCCAGAUUUGCUUUUUUUCUUGGCUGUCUUUCCAUGAAGACGCCAUGCUGCAGGUCAAGUUUUCUCUCCUGGCAAAGCAGAGUGGAAAGAAGCCUCUACACAGAGCUGCCACUCGGAGGCCCCCGCGGGCCUAACCCUAACCCUAACCCUAACCCCAACCCCACUAACUCUGGAGCCAAGAUUCCUUUUACUCGCUAGCACAUUCAGAAUUUCCCCUUCUUAACUUUCUUUUUUUGGAAUAUACCUGCUUUUUUGCCUUGUUUGUACUAGUUUGAGGUUUCUUCUUACUUGCUGUAGCAGGCAGAAUAAUGGCCCCAUAAAGAUGUCAGGUCCUGAUCUCUCAUACUUAUAAAUACAUCAGGACAAAAAAAAAAGAGCUUUGAAAAUACGAUUAAGUUAAGGAUCUUGACAUAGCAAGAUUAUCCUGGCUUAUCCAUGCAGGCCAUAAAUGCAAUCACAGUGUCCCGUGACAGGCAGAGGAGAUUAGACAGAUGAGAAAGUCAUGUGAAAACAGAAGCAGAGACAGAAAUCGAAAUGAUGGAACCAGAAGCCAGGACUGCAUGCUGCCAAGGGAUGGGCUCUGCCCAGAGCCUUCACAGGGAGUGUGGUCCCGCAGGCACCUUGAUGUUGGCCCAGGGAUACUGUUGCUGUAACCCAGCCUCUGUCCAUCAGUGCUAAAGAGAAAUGCGAAGACAAAAUUUUGGGUAAAGGAGAAAAAAAUAGCUUUUACUGCUGUCCCAGGCAAAGGAGGCCAUGGCAGGUUCAUGCCUUAAAGACUGUGCCCUCCUGUGCCCUCCUCUGGGGAAGAAUUGCAGGGAGUUUUGUGGUCUAAAAUGAGAAAAACAGGGUUUUAAUAAAAAUCAGGGUUGGUGGCACACAUGCAUUCUUCUUUCUUUGGGGGAAUUCAGCUACUGUGUUACAAUGACUGUAUAAUGAAGCUGAAGGCCCACUGGAAGGCAAAUCAUCCACCGUCUUGGACUUGGUGGGUUCUAACCAGUUUUUGUCAUAUCCUCAAAGACUAUGUCAUUCUUUUAAAUGUUGUGCCCUGCUCCCUUCGCUUCUGUUUCAAUACUAAUUUAGUUUCGCCUAUAAACUACUUUGACCCUUUAAGAUUUAAAUCUUCUGCUGUAUUCCGUCCCAUCUUUGCUUCUCAGUGUUCAAAUUAUAGUUUUGACUUGCCUCAGAAUGUGCAGCUCUCCAGAUCCCUAGGAGAUCAAAAGCCUCCCCUGUUUGUUUACAUCUCAAUGUGGUCUCUCCCAUACACCAUUCCAGAUGCUUUUGAAUGUGCUUGAAGCAUCCUUCAAAUACUGCAGCACAAACAUGAAUUAGAAUACAUUUACAUGGAAAAGAGCGAAAAUUCAGCACCAUUCAUUUCAUUAAAAUACAUGCACAUAAACUGAUUUUUGAUGAAUUUUCAUUAGCAUUUUUAGCACCUAGUAGUUAUAUUUUUAUAGAAAAAUUUGGAUGGACAGCUAUCAUACUGAAUUUAAACAGUAAAUGUAAAAUUGUCCCUAACUUAUAUAUCACAUAAAAAUACAGUGAAAACACAGUAAAACAGUUCUUAUUUAGUGUGGUGGAAAAUAAAAUACCAAAGUGUCUGACAAAAUGAAAGUCCUGUGGUUAUAAUCAGCUGUGUAUUUUGGGUUUCUAUUAUUAUUUUUUACAGAGUUAAAAUGCAUUGUGUUUGUUCAUUAAGAAUGACGUUUGUAAGUUUUGGAAAUCAUUUCUUAAAUGUGGCAUGCAAUCAUUCCUGCCACAUCGGCCUCUUUCAAGUUCCCGUUUUUUGAAUAUGACAAACACCCUUAGAAUAUUGCAAUUGCUGCUCUCUUUAUCUAAACCAUCUCCCCAAAGCUUGCCCCUCACUCCCUUGUUCAUUUAUAAAAAUAUCCUGUUCACCACAAAGACUUCUCCGAACUGUCUGCCUGCAUUACUUUCUGUUACACUGUAUCUCCUUAUCUCUGUUUUAUAUUUUUUCCACUUAGCAGCUAACACAGUGUGUAUUUAUUUUUUCUGCAGCCCAUCUGCUUACCCUUCCCUACACAUCCUUUCCUACUCCCUGAACCAUCCACACUGCUCUUUGGGCAAAGAGUUGGCUGUUUUUAUACUUUCUCUAUCCUCAGAAUGUAAAAUACAACUGGGAUAAAUUAAGGGCUCACUCAUUUUUGUUAAAUCAAUAAAAUAAAGGCUACUUUUAAAAAUGUAUUCAUGGAGUUCCCGUCAUGGCUCAGGGGUUAAGAAUCUGACUAGGAACCAUGAGGUUUGGGGUUCGAUCCCUGGCCUUGCUCAGUGGAUUAAGGAUCCAGUGUUGCCCUGAGCUGUGGUGUAGGUUGCAGAGGCAGCUUGGAUCCCGCAUUGCUGUGGCUGUGGUGUAGGUCGGCGGCUGUUGCUCCGAUUAGACCCCCAGCCUAGGAACCUCCAUAUGCCGUGGGAGCGGCCCUAGAAAAGGCAAAAAG